GGCUUCUCCUGCUCCCAGUGUGGCUUCAGGUGUGAUAAGUGGUCGGUGGGUCAGCUUCACCUCUGCAAGGAUCACGCGCUGGACAUGACCUCCUGAGCUGCGGGAUCUGCCACACCUACAAGACGUGCACCCAGCAGCGCCUCCUCGUCCACCAGAAGGUACACUCCGACGUCAGGGAGCACAUUUGUACGACCUGUGGCAAGGGGUUCAAGCAGUCGGCGCAGCUCCUGAACCACCAGGGCGCGCACAUCACCGACCCCAAGGACAUGCCUGCCUGGGCCGACAAAGCGUUCUGCGAGGAGUGCCAGAAGUGGUUCAGGGACAGGAAAUCGUUUCAGAAGCACAACACUCUGGGACCGUGGGCGCGUCACCAGAGGCAGCCACUCACCCCAGAGGACAAGGAGCCAUGGGGUGCGGCACAAUUGGCAAGCCGUGAACUGACAGACACUGGACAGCACCCUGGCAGAACGUGUACAGAACAGGAGUCUGGAGGCAGUGCAGGAUCCUGGGAGGGGACGGAAGGAGGGAAGAAGGAAGGAAGGAAGGAGGGAAGGAAGGAAGGAGGGAAGAAGGAAGGAAGGAAGGAAGGAAGAAGGAAGGAAGGGACACACCUCAACUUACAGGACUCAGAUCAUCAAGGUUCACAGUCCACCAGGAGUAGCCCAGAGAGGGAGUCCAGUCUACCACGGGACAGUCCACUCGUCAAGGUCCAGCCAGGUCUAUUGUUGACAGUCUGGGAACGGGAGGAAGGAAGGAAAAGGAAGGACAGAAGGAAGGAACACACACACUCAUAUUCUUAACUUCUGUCUUUCUUACUGAUGCGAUAUUUCUUCUCCUCCUCCUCUUCUCCACAAUGUGUUGAGUAGCUGCAGGCCGGGCGGAGGCUGAGCUGCGGCCCCACGAUGGACGAGGUGUUUGCGGCCACCAAGACAAAGUGUUCGCUGAGCCCCGCCCGCAGCACACACCCGCCUGCACAUCCAGCUGCCGCCCCCUCAGGACACGCCCCCGCCCCCACCUCCGUCACCGAGACCCCCGCAGCCUCACCCAGCUAUGGGGGGAGGAGAAGAGGAGGUGUUAGUUGGGGUGUGACAGUGUGUUGAUGGUGAAUAAAUAGGGAGGAGGGAAGAAAAAGAAGAAGUUAGGGAUUGUGUGUUUUAUUCCAUAGUGAAAAGAAGGAAAAUGGAUAAAUGGUUUGUAAAAAUUGUGCUUUAGAGAAAAAAAGAUAUGGAGAAGGAGUUGAUUAAAUUUACACAUCUUUGAUUCUAUAUUGUUUGCAGUGAAUAAAAGAUGAGGAAAAGGAGGAGGAUAACAAUAGCAAACACACAAAAUGCCAACUACAAAGAUGUAUAACUAAAUAAACAACACAAGAAUAACAAAAAUGUUCGAUAAUAAUGCAAUGAAAACUGAAGAGAGAUGGAACAUUGCGCUCUUGAGAAUAAACACAAAUCUAUACAAACAUUCUACACACACAAAAAAAGAAAAAUAGAAAGAAAAAUAAAACCAAAACAUUCUUACCUUUUCCCGAUGAAGGAGGAGGAGAUCUUGGAGACAGUGACCUGGUGGAGGUGAUGAUGACCAUGAUGAUGAGGGGGAGGAGGAGAUCUUGGAGACAGUGACCUGGUGGAGGUGAUGAUGACCAUGAUGAUGAGGGGGAGGAGGAGAUCUUGGAGACAGUGACCUGGUGGAGGUGAUGAUGACCAUGAUGAUGAGGGGGAGGAGGAGAUCUUGGAGACAGUGACCUGGUGGAGGUGAUGAUGACCAUGAUGAUGAGGGGGAGGAGGAGAUCUUGGAGACAGUGACCUGGUGGAGGUGAUGAUGACCAUGAUGGUGAGGGUGAGGAGGAGAUCUUGGAGACAGCGCCGCCCCCCGUCACCCACACACCCGCGGCCUCCACCAGGCGGCUCAGCACCGACUCG